AUUGAACGCUGGCGGCAUGCCUUACACAUGCAAGUCGAACGGCAGCGCGGACUUCGGUCUGGCGGCGAGUGGCGAACGGGUGAGUAAUACAUCGGAACGUACCCUGUUGUGGGGGAUAACUAGUCGAAAGAUUAGCUAAUACCGCAUACGACCUGAGGGUGAAAGUGGGGGACCGCAAGGCCUCACGCAGCAGGAGCGGCCGAUGUCUGAUUAGCUAGUCGGGGGGGUAAAGGCCCACCAAGGCGACGAUCAGUAGCUGGUCUGAGAGGACGAUCAGCCACACUGGGACUGAGACACGGCCCAGACUCCUACGGGAGGCAGCAGUGGGGAAUUUUGGACAAUGGGGGCAACCCUGAUCCAGCAAUGCCGCGUGUGUGAAGAAGGCCUUCGGGUUGUAAAGCACUUUUGUCCGGAAAGAAAUCGCGCUGGUUAAUACCUGGCGCGGAUGACGGUACCGGAAGAAUAAGCACCGGCUAACUACGUGCCAGCCGCCGCAGUAA
rnacentral:rRNA from 1 species